rnacentral:lncRNA from 1 species
GCAUCUUCUCCUUAGGUCAUAAGAAAAUAUAACUAAAAUUUUGUAUAAUUUAUAUAUAAUGUUAUAAGAUGUAUUAUUAUAAUGGAUAAUAUUGUUUCUUUUAUAAUAAUAUAUAAUGUGAUAUUAUGUAGUAAUAAUAAUAAUAACCUAUGUUAGAUUGUUAUAUAUUAUUAUAUUAUUAUAUUAUAUUUUGUAUAACUCAAUGUUAUAUUGCAUUUGCUUAUUAUUUUCUAAUUUUUUAUUUUAAAACAUUUGAAUAAAAUAUUCUAUAUAUUUAUAAUUAACCAACUAAAUUAUUUUAAUAUGAAAAUAUAUUCAUUUAUAAUAAUCUAGUCUAAUAAAUGAACACAAAUAUUUAUAAAGUAUAUAAUAUUUACUUUCAAAUAUAUAUAUAUAAAAUAAUAUUUUAAAUUUAGGCAUACUUCAAAUAAUUAGUCUAAUAAAUAAGUUUUAAAGAACAUGUUUAUGCCCUACUACACUUGUAAAUAUUGGGGAAAUAUUGUAAAUUAAUUAAAAUGAUAUCAUGAUUUAUUGUAAUUUUAAAAUUAGAAAAUAUAUUAAUAUCACUUAUACCAUAAAUCAUCCAAUUUUUAUUUAUUUGUUACUUGUGUCAUGGGCUUGACUGCCUCAUGUUCUCCCCACAUUGGUGACCUUUUAAAAAAAAUAAAAAAUAAAAAAUAUUUUAAUGUUACAUUUUCAAUUCCUAGAUGUUUCUAAAUUAAUCUUUCAUUUUUGAAAAACAAAAAAAAAAAAAAGAAAAAAACCAUUUAAAAAUUUAGGCAUUCAAAUUAUAGAAUGUGAAGCCAAGUCUUUUUCAACAAAUUAUGGGUUAUAUAUAUGUUUGGAAAAUUUUAAAAUUUUAAGAAAACUAUUUAAAGCAAAAAAUAUAAGAUUUAUUUUCAUUAAAACAUGUUCUUAACUUAGUCUCUAUUUAGAUUAAUUUUUGAAGUUUUAAAAGUUUUAUUUUUUAACUCAAUGAGAGUUUUUAUAUUUGUAACUAAUUUUGCUCCAGGAAUCCCAACGUAGAGUAGGAAAAGGGUGUUCGAAAAUUUAGAAUAUUUCUUUAAAAACGAUGUCGUUUUUAUAAUCCGACGUGUCUAAAGCCCGCAUCCGCAUUAACUCACGUAGACCCGCGUCGACCCACGUUAUAACCCUAACCCUACGCACUGUCUACUAUAUAAACGCAAAGAUAAACCGCCGAGGCCCUUCCAGCGGCGACUGCGGGGAAGAGAAAAGGAGAGGAGCGAAGAUGCAGAUUUUCGUGAAGACCCUAACGGGGAAGACCAUAACCCUAGAGGUUGAAUCAUCUGACACGAUCGAUAAUGUCAAGGCCAAGAUCCAAGACAAGGAAGGCAUCCCGCCGGACCAGCAGCGCCUCAUCUUCGCUGGCAAACAGCUGGAGGACGGCCGAACCCUAGCCGACUACAAUAUCCAGAAGGAGUCAACCCUCCACCUGGUGCUUCGCCUCCGUGGUGGCGCCAAGAAGCGCAAGAAGAAGACCUACACCAAGCCCAAGAAGAUCAAGCACAAAAAGAAGAAGGUCAAGCUCGCUGUUUUGCAGUUCUACAAGGUUGAUGAUUCCGGAAAGGUUCAGAGGUUGAGAAAGGAGUGCCCUAAUUCUGAGUGCGGUGCGGGUACCUUCAUGGCCAAUCAUUUUGAUAGGCACUAUUGUGGCAAGUGCGGCCUCACCUAUGUUUACCAGAAGGCUGGCGGAGAUUAGGGUUUAUAACUUGAACUACUUCUUCUAGUUUCUGUUAUGCGUUUCUGUUUUGUAGAAUUUCAGAGUU